GAUGAAGAACGUAGCGAAAUGCGAUAAGUAAUGUGAAUUGCAGAAUUCAGUGAAUCAUCGAAUCUUUGAACGCACAUUGCGCCCGCCAGCAUUCUGGCGGGCAUGCCUGUUCGAGCGUCAUUUCAACCCUCAAGCUCUGCUUGGUGUUGGGGCCCUACGGUUACGUAGGCCCUUAAAGGUAGUGGCGGACCCUCUCGGAGCCUCCUUUGCGUAGUAACUAACGUCUCGCAUUGGGAUUCGGAGGGACUCUUGCCGUAAAACCCCCAAAUUUUCUAAUGGUUGACCUCGGAUCAGGUAGGAAUACCCGCUGAACUUAAGCAUAUCAAUAAGCGGAGGA
rnacentral:misc_RNA from 1 species